UGGGGAAUAUUGCACAAUGGGCGAAAGCCUGAUGCAGCAACGCCGCGUGAGUGAUGAAGGUCUUCGGAUUGUAAAGCUCUGUCUUUUGGGACGAUAAUGACGGUACCAAAGGAGGAAGCCACGGCUAACUAUGUGCCAGCAGCCGCGGUAAUACGUAGGUGGCGAGCGUUGUCCGGAUUUACUGGGCGUAAAGGGUGCGUAGGCGGAUGUUUAAGUGAGAUGUGAAAUACCCGGGCUUAACUUGGGUGCUGCAUUUCAAACUGGAUAUCUAGAGUGCAGGAGAGGAGAAUGGAAUUCCUAGUGUAGCGGUGAAAUGCGUAGAGAUUAGGAAGAACACCAGUGGCGAAGGCGAUUCUCUGGACUGUAACUGACGCUGAGGCACGAAAGCGUGGGUAGCAAACAGGAUUAGAUACCCUGGUAGUCCACGCCGUAAACGAUGAGUACUAGGUGUAGGAGGUAUCGACCCCUUCUGUGCCGCAGUAAACACAUUAAGUACUCCGCCUGGGAAG
rnacentral:rRNA from 1 species